rnacentral:lncRNA from 1 species
AGAAACUGAAGGGGACAGAGGAUGAGGUGGAAAAGUAUUCCGAGUCUGUGAAGGAUGCCCAGGAGAAACUGGAGCAGGCCGAGAAGAAGGCCACCGAUGCUGAAGCAGAUGUGGCUUCUCUGAAUCGACGCAUUCAGCUCGUAGAGGAGGAGUUGGAUCGGGCACAGGAGCGCCUGGCUACAGCCUUGCAAAAGCUGGAGGAGGCUGAGAAAGCCGCUGAUGAGAGCGAGAGAGGAAUGAAGGUCAUUGAGAACCGGGCCAUGAAGGAUGAGGAGAAGAUGGAGCUGCAGGAGAUGCAGCUGAAAGAAGCCAAGCACAUCGCUGAGGACUCAGACCGCAAAUACGAGGAGGUGGCCAGGAAGCUGGUGAUCCUGGAAGGAGAGCUGGAGCGCUCUGAAGAGAGAGCCGAGGUGGCUGAGAGCCGAGCCAGGCAGCUGGAGGAGGAGCUUCGAACCAUGGACCAGGCUCUCAAGUCGCUGAUAGCCUCAGAGGAGGAGUAAAUGUGGGGACCUAGAGGAGGAGCUGAAAAUUGUUACCAACAACUUGAAAUCUCUGGAAGCCCAAGCGGACAAGUAUUCCACCAAAGAGGACAAAUACGAAGAAGAGAUCAAACUUCUGGAGGAGAAGCUGAAGGAGGCUGAGACCCGAGCAGAGUUUGCUGAAAGAUCUGUGGCAAAGUUGGAGAAAACCAUCGAUGACCUGGAAGAUGAAGUCUAUGCACAGAAGAUGAAGUACAAGGCCAUCAGCGAGGAGCUGGACAACGCGCUCAAUGACAUCACUUCCCUCUGAGUUCCCACUGUGGCCAUCGCAGGCCCCUUUCUUCUUUUUCCAUUCUCUCUGAGGGGAGGGGGCAGCCAGGAGGAGCACAAACUGGCCAUGUUGCACAGCCAGUCUGAGGGCAGCCUGAG